rnacentral:rRNA from 1 species
AGAGUUUGAUCAUGGCUCAGGAUGAACGCUGGCGGCGUGCCUAACACAUGCAAGUCGAACGGACUUUUCAUGAAGCCUAGCGAUUGAAAAGUUAGUGGCGGACGGGUGAGUAACGCGUGGGUAACCUGCCUUGUACUGGGGGACAACAGUUGGAAACGACUGCUAAUACCGCAUAAGCGCACAGCUUCGCAUGAAGCAGUGUGAAAAACUACCGGUGGUACAAGAUGGACCCGCGUCUGAUUAGCUGGUUGGUGAGGUAACGGCCCACCAAGGCAACGAUCAGUAGCCGGCCUGAGAGGGUGAACGGCCACAUUGGGACUGAGACACGGCCCAAACUCCUACGGGAGGGCAGCA